AGAUUUUCCAGGUGAAGAGGCAGCGUUUGAUCCCGGACUCAAUGCUGGUCGUCAGAGAAAGGGGUGAAAGAGUCUCCCGACUGAGAAAGCAGCACGUGCAGCCGCGGAGUGUGAUCGCCCGGCUGCAGGGGGACAAGUGGUUCGUGAUGGCUGGAAGAUAGGGAGGGCUCCGAGGACACUUGUCCAGCUUCUAAUUCUGCAAACAGCAGCUGGAGAGGCACCAGCGACGUGUGACAGCAUUUGGACACUUUUGAUUGUUGUCAUCGAGGGGUUGGAGGAGUGCUAUGGUUAGAGCUAUCAAAAUGAUGUCCUUAACGUGGAGUUGGGAAGAGUUGCGUGGAAUUGGCGCUCACCAGCUGCUACGAGCCAGCCCCAGACAUUCACUCACGGCCCAUCGAUUCUCAGAUCUCAGGAAGAAGAAGCAAGCCAGCACACUUUCCCACAAAUGGUGAUGGCUUUCAGUGUCAUGCAAAGCCACGCUGGAGCCUAAGGCAAAGACAAAGUCGC
rnacentral:lncRNA from 1 species